ACAUUUUUUACUUUCGUGACUAUACGUUGACAUUCUGCCAAGACAAACAAAUAUAAAAACAUCAUUUGCAUAUUAUAUUGAUAAAUCAUAAAAAAAUCGAAUUGAAUUCAAGAUGAAGCAGCGUUUAACAUUUUUCAAGCCGCUCGCUACACGAAAAGGUGUUUUCGUGCCGGAAACGCCGUAUGAAGGAAACAAGAACUUGUUGAAAUUUGUAGAAGAGCACUACAAAUGUGCACAAUCCGAUUUACUAAAUGUAAAAAAAAGAAAACUCGACCAAGGGCAGCACAAAUUAUCCAUACCUCGUCUGAAAUCUGGAGAUGAAAGUGACGAUGUACCAGCAGGAUUUUUCCUUACUAUAAUAUUCAGUAUUCAGGGCAGCAUUCAUGACAUAACAAAAUAUCUAACUCUCUAUUCAAAAUUCGGCCCAUGGAUGGCCCUUUUACUUUUUGCAUGCAUAUACGUUUUCAUAGCAAUGCCAUUAUACAUGGUGUUCUUUUUUCUAAGCAAUUACACGCGCUUUGGAUAUAUGAAAAUAUGGUCAGCUGUUCCAAUCUUAAAAGGCGUUAGUUUUUCAGUAGCUAUGCUAAAUUUUGUUUCGUGUAUCCUUAACAUGUCGCUUGUAACACUACACAUCGUAUUCAUGUGUGGAGCAUUUACCAAUUGGUUGGAGUGUGGUUAUCCGUAUGAAGAAGGCACCGAAUGCCUAUCAAAUCAGACGAAUUUCUGUACUGAGAGAAACAUGUCAAUGCCGCAAGUUGGCACCUAUGUAUUUAUGAAACACGUAGUCACUUCGAAAUUCGGUGAUGUUAUUAAUUUCUAUUGGAUUUUAAUCCUAUUUGUAAUGUACACCCUGCUGGUGUUGGGCGAGUUGUAUGCCAGGAGAGUACUAGCACCCAUUUGUCGAUUAACAACUAUAAUGUGGGGCUUGAUUUUCAUUACAAUUAUUUUAUAUGAAGGAUUUUACGGUACCACGUAUACUUUAACAGCACAGACCUCCGGAACUAUUUCAACUAUACUUCAACCACCUUUUUGGGUUGCUUGUGCAAAACUAUCACUCCGGCGUGUCAUGCCUGGUGAUUUAGUAACAUAUGGAUCUAUCACAAUGGCUGGUAUGAAUCCAAUAACAAUGGCGGUUCUAAUGGCUUUAAUGCGUAUUGUGUUUACAACAACAGUUGCAAAUUUCUACGUUAUCUCAUUGAAUCGUUUUAUUACAUACCACAACAUUAAAUAUGCUGACUGCGUUGAAGUUAAUGGAUUAACAAUACUCUUUUGUUUGAUACCAGACCAACUCCUUCAAAUCGAUGCUACCAAAAUAACAUACUUCCUGUACCUUUUAUUUUCAAUUUACAUGGGUUCAAUGUCAACGUUUCUAAGCAUACAUGGUUUUUUAACAGCCAUUACCGGAGACUAUCCAGAUACCAAAGAAUAUAGAACCACUGUGGUGAUAAUCAUAUGCGUGAUUAUGUUUCUUGCAAAUAUAGUUGUUGUUGGAGUUGGUUUCGAAUUUCUCUUCUUCGAAGAUUUGAAAGUUUUCAUCGCGCCAUUACUAACAUAUUGUUGCGUUGCAUUUUUCAUGACUUCUUAUUCUCCACUACGAAUUGCGAAUGAUUUUUACUUUGCAUUCGGGCGAAGGCUUCCAACUUAUUGGAAUACUUUAAUGAAAUUAUACGUUAUUUUUGUAUCAGCAAUUUCAACUAUUUAUAUCAUGUAUGAGAUGCAUAAUAUGCCUGUAGAUGGAUCCGUAUGGGCUAAUAUUGUAGCUCUACUUUUGAUUUUGACACCAAUUGUACUGUUUGCAAUCAUACGAAUACAUUUAGCGCGAAAGAACAAAAAGAAAAUCAGUAUGAUACAGCCUGGAAAAGGAUGGGGAUCACCUGAUGCAGCAACUCGUGCGGCUCGUAUAUCGUUCGAUGCUAAACGAGAAUGCAGGAUGAGAAUGGAACUUCGUUGUCAUCAUGAAUGCUUGGUAGAAUCUAAAACAUGUCAGGAUUUUCUUACGAAAGAAAUGGACAAGUAUUUCAUGAAUCGCAAUCGAUAUGUGGUUCGAAUGUCAAAAGAAAAAGAAGAAUAAGAUAUAAACAUUUUAGUUUUAUGUGAAAUUAAAAUCAUUUCUCAAUGAUUUGUGAAUGUAAAAGAUUUUAAUGCAGAAUCACUUUAAACUGAAGCAAAAGUUAUUAUAAAACGGGUUUAUUUCACAACAUCGGUGUGUAAAUAAGAUUCGCUGUUGUUGGAAGAUAGUGAAACUAAAAACAAAAAUAAUCCCUAACCUGCCAAUUGUUGAAUACCGAUUAAUCGACAAAUAAAGUCUAUGACAACGACACCACACAUUAUUACAAUCUUGUAUUGAAUAAUUAUUAUUUAAAGAAAGAUCACAACACAACCUAACUGAACAGGUAUCCGACGGUUACCGCGCGAAAUUCUCCAGCACUCCGACAAGCGCAAUAUAGCCAGGGCGAUUUUAUGCAAGUUAUAGAACUGGUGGCGCUCUCUCUGAGCAAUCCAGUGAGUUUAAUUUGAUUCCUGCCAAGUAGUUACCAUCAAAAGGAGGAUUUUAUAGUAAAAUAGCCCACAGUUUGAUAAAUUCAUUAUCCAGA